GUUUGAAUUUGAAGUGUCAUUGUAAAUGUCACUUUUAACUCGUUACGCAAAGUUAUCAUGGAUAACGAGUUGUGAAGUAUAAAAACUUCAAAAAAUAACUUCACAUCUAAAGUUUUAUCCCAAAAAUUAUUUAAUUUUAAUGGAAAACAAUAAUUAACUAUCACAUCAUGUUACCUGCAGUUGCAAAAGUAUAUUGUAUCUCACAGAUUUAAGUAUUUUUCAUUCUAAAUACAUACACAAUUUACAUAUUGCACUUUGGUUAAAAAUUUGUAAAAAAAAAACUCACCUGCAAAAUAUGAUAAAUUAAAUGUUCACAAAUAGUUUUCUUAUGUGGAAUUAUUCCCGGAGUUCUUUUGUUGCUUCUCUUCUGGAGUGCAAACGAAAUACGACUUAUAUUCCAAAUAAAAUCUAAGCGAAUAUAAAAACAAUUGAUAAUAAGCAAACGUCAAAAAGGUUGUUUGAAGGUCGUUGUAGCUAAACACUCGUUGCGAGUAACAAUGUCAAAAUGACAACAUUACCAAAACAGGGUUGUUAUAAUAUACAUUUAAUAAACAGUACAAUAAAAGAAUAAAUUCAUUUCUUUUAAACAAUUGAACAAUUUUGGAUUAUUAUCAAUGUAGAGAUGGAAAAAGAUUAAAUAACCUAUUGGGUAACAUUCGGUAAAAUGGGAGUAUUGACUUAAAAAGGGAUAUUUUGAAAAAUGCGAGAAAAAUCAACAGUAUCAGUUUUUGAAGAAGAACAUUUAAAAGACUUUGCAAGCAGAUUUUUCUGAACUACCGGAUAUAUACCGGGAGUAGAUAAAUGCGGAAAACGGAAAAGAGGAGAUUCAAAAGAUGAUACAUUUGUAAAAUUAAAAGGGGUAAAAGAGGUUGUUCUUAUUCAAUGAAAUUGGAUUUAUUGCUAAAUAAAAACACAAAACGGGAUAUUUCUAUAGAUUCGUAUAUAGCAAUUAGUAUUAUCUGUUCAAAACUUUAAACUGUUCCAUUUUUGUAAAAAUAUGUAAUUAUAUUUUCAUAUAACAUUCCUCUAAUAUGCGGGUACAUUUAUUGAUUUCAUGACGAAUUCAGUGACGACACAUAUUGCAAAUGAAGGUGACCUUUUUAUAAUGUUUACAAAGUACACUUUCAUAAUAAAAUAUUUAAUAUCGUCA